AGGCAAGCGUUAUCCGGAAUUAUUGGGCGUAAAGCGUCCGCAGGGGGCACUUCAAGUCUGCUGUCAAAGGUCGGAGCUUAACUCCGGUUCGGCAGUGGAAACUGGAGCGCUAGAGGGCGACAGGGGUAGAGGGAAUUCCCAGUGUAGCGGUGAAAUGCGUAGAGAUUGGGAAGAACACCGGUGGCGAAAGCGCUCUACUGGGUCGCACCUGACCCUCAGGGACGAAAGCUAAGGUAGCGAAAGGGAUUAGAUACCCCUGUAGUCUUAGCCGUAAACGAUGGAUACUAGGCGUGGUUUGUAUCGACCCAAGCCGUGCCGAAGCUAACGCGUUAAGUAUCCCGCCUGGGGAGUACGCACGCAAGUGUGAAACUCAAAGGAAUUGACGGGGGCCCGCACAAGCGGUGGAGGAUGUGGUUUAAUUCGAUGCAACGCGAAGAACCUUACCAGGGCUUGACAUCCCGCGAAUCUUGCUGAAAGGCGAGAGUGCCUUCAGGAGCGCGGAGACAGGUGGUGCAUGGCUGCCGUCAGCUCGUGUCGUGAGAUGUUGGGUUAAGUCCCGCAACGAGCGCAACCCUCGUCCUUAGUUGCCAGCAUUAAGUUGGGCACUCUAGGGAGACUGCCGGUGACAAACCGGAGGAAGGUGAGGAUGACGUCAAGUCAGCAUGCCCCUUAUGCUCUGGGCAACACACGUCCUACAAUGGUCGGGACAAAGGGGAGCAAGCUCGCGAGAGUAAGCGAAUCCCAGCAAGCUCGGCCUCAGUUCAGAUUGCAGGCUGCAACUCGCCUGCAUGAAGGAGGAAUCGCUAGUA
rnacentral:rRNA from 1 species